UCCCAGUAUCCAAGUGACAGGGCAGAAUCAGAAAUAAAUAGCUCAGGUGCCAAUUUAAAUCCUCAAAGAAAAAAAAAGAGUUGUUUGGGCUCACAGAGGAGUUUGAGGCUUAGGUGCCAAAAGUAAAUUCAGUCCUGUUUUUUCAUCUAUACCUCAGAAGAGGAUUUAUUGGUACAGAAGGUGAACAAGAGGCUCCAUUUCCCCCUCAGGAUGCUGUAUUUGAUGCUGUUGUGUACCACCCACAUCCCCUUCUAGAACCAAGUUCUCUCCAAGUUGACUGGAAUUUUGGAUGCUGACAGCUCACAGCUGUGUUCUUCUUCAGGAAUUGCCCCUGGCUCAAGGAAGCGGCUUCACUCAAAGUUAUGCACUCUUCCUGGGAUGCAGCACACAUUCAAUGCCUGGGUCAUACAGAAUGCAAAGAUUCGUCCCGCUUACCUUGAUUCUCAAGACAUCUCUAAAGGGCCAUUCCACCUUCAAAAGUGGAUUCAUGGAAACCACUGAGGCUGUUCUUAUAACAGAGCACCUUCCCUUUUCACAUGUCCUUGAUUAGCAGUAAUUCCCAUAACAAAUUAACUUAAACAUUUUGAUACUAAGUGUCAUGACAUUUUGCUACAUGCUAGGAAAAUCAAAAUUAUGACCUGGUCUCUGACUUCAAAGAGAUUUUAGCUUAUAGAAAUGAUAACUGACUCCAAAGUAUCAUACAAGGCUGUAUGGCCUAAGCAUGAAGGUGCUGAGUCAUUCAAUUAUUAAACCGUAAACACCUGUACGUGCUUUGUGCAGCAGUAUAAAGGUCAGUAAGGGUUGGACACUGCUUUUAAGGAUUUCAGUGCGUUCAGGGGAGGGAAGGUUUAUUCUUGACAGGAGUUUCUUCAUGGAGGCUCCGUUUGUUUACAUAUGUCCUCGCUUACUUCAGAAAAAGAAUUUGAGUUGGAUCAGAAAAAGUAAUUAAGUAUUUCAUAAAGGGUUGGAGUGUGAUGGGGUAGGAGGGAAACUCCAGGAUGAAGGAAUAACAUGAAGGCAGUAGGGAGAAGGCUGUUUCCUCACAAUGGUUUCUGAUAGGGUCUUAAAAUUGGCACCGGAGGAGAAUAUUUAACAGGAAAAGAACGUCUAAAGUGAGGAGAGGCCUGAAGACAAAGGCUAUAUCCAAUACGUCUGGAAACCUCAUUGGCUCUACCUUCAAAAUAUAUUCAGAAUUCAGGACGUUCCUCGGGCAAAAAGGAAUAUGAGACCAACCAUAAACCUGGCUCUACAUCAAGAAAUGAAGAGUAUGGGAAAUGGAGUAAAACAAGAGUUUUGGAAGUAAGAUCAUUAUCCUCGUGGAAUGGCUGCUUGGUAGCAGGUCAAGAUUUUGUUCAUGACUCAUCAGAAGAAAUAAUGAGGAGGUGACUAAACUUAAAGUCCAGAGGAAAACAGAAAAAAGCAGCAGCAGCCAUGAGUCCACCAGGAAACAAAGCUUUCCCUGAAGAACCUCCGAGCAGACUUCUCUGUACAGCUCAUUUGUCAGACAAGCCAGAUGACUGACCCAGCUGCAGGGGAGACCAGAAAGUGGGGAACAGGAUCGCUAUGAUUGUAUUACCCCAUCAAGAUCCAUUGACUCAAGAUGGGCACAUUGGCACCUCAAAAAACCAAGAAGAAAGUGAAAACAGAUAUUAAGUAAUUUGCAACAUCUGCAACAAACACCAUCCGCCUUCCAAUCACACAUCAGGUUAAGUCUACUCUACCCCUUAAAUACCUCUAAAUUGCAUCUCCUUUAUCACUACCCCUACUUUAACCUAAAUUGCUAUCAUCUAUGCUCAGGAUCAGAGCAGCAGACCUUCAUUGUUUCUCUGCUGUAUAAUACUGUUUCUUCCUUCCAAUUUCUUCUCCAACUUUAUCCAGUGUGAUCUUUCAUGGAGUUAAAUCUGAACUUGUUAUUCAUUCGGCUUAAACCACUUCAGCGGCAAACACCAGGCUAUUUCUUUCCUCUGCUCCUCUGGUCCCCCCUGCAUAGUACUUGCUUUACCAACCACUCCCACUUACCCACAUGUAGCUAAUUCCUAAUUAUCCUUUAAGGUUUUCUCUCACUCUUCCCAUCACAUUGCUCAUCUCUCAGCUAAGGUAGGUGCAACUUCAUGUGUUCUCAAAUAGUGUAUUUGUAUUGUAUAAUUGUUCUGUUUAAUACGAUUCUGUAUUAUCAUUGUCUCAUAUCGUUGUCAUCGCUACUGAAUAGAGUUUCUUUAAAAUUAAAGCUUUUGUUUCAUUCACAGCCGAGUCCGUACCACCCAGCACAAUACCUGGCACAUAAGCAUUCUGUUAAUGCUUAUUGAAUAACAGGUUGAUUAAUUGAAGAAGAAUACUUGCAUAUUGUUGUUAAUUGGGUAGACACUUGUAAUAAAAGAAUGAACAAGAGACAGCAUAACAAAA